rnacentral:rRNA from 1 species
CCAAUAGCGUAUAUUAAAGUUGCUGCAGUUAAAAAGCUCGUAGUUGAAUUUCGGGACCAAUAUGUCGGUCGUGCCUCGGUACGUACUGGCAUCGUUGGUUUCUCCCUUCUGACGAACCAUGAUGUCAUUCAUUUGGUGUCGUGGGGAAUCAGGACUGUUACUUUGAAAAAAUUAGAGUGUUUAAAGCAGGCUCACGCUUGAAUACAUUAGCAUGGAAUAAUGAAAUAGGACGUUUGAUUCUAUUUUGUUGGUUUCUAGGAUCGACGUAAUGAUUAAUAGGGAUAUUGGGGGGAAUUAGUAUUCAAUCGUCAGAGGUGAAAUUUUUGGAUUUAUUGAAGACUAACUACUGCGAAAGCAUUUGCAAAGGAUGUUUUCAUGAAUCAAGAACGAAAGUUAGGGGAUCGAAGACGUUCAGAUCCGGUCGUAGUCUUAACUAUAAACUAUGCCGACUAGGGAUCGGAUGAUGUUAAUUUUUUAAUGACUCAUUCGGCGCCUUCCG